GAUGAACGCUGGCGGCGUGCUUAACACAUGCAAGUCGAACGAAGCACUUUAUUUGAUUUCCUUCGGGACUGAUUAUUUUGUGACUGAGUGGCGGACGGGUGAGUAACGCGUGGGUAACCUGCCUUGUACAGGGGGAUAACAGUCGGAAACGGCUGCUAAUACCGCAUAAGCGCACAGCAUCGCAUGAUGCAGUGUGAAAAACUCCGGUGGUAUAAGAUGGACCCGCGUUGGAUUCGCUAGUUGGUGAGGUAACGGCCCGCCAAGGCGACGAUCCAUAGCCGACCUGGGAGGGGGACCGGCCACGUUUGGGCUGAGACCCAGCCCAAACUCCUACGGGAGGCAGCAGUGGGGAAUAUUGCACAAUGGGCGAAAGCCUGAUGCAGCGACGCCGCGUGAGCGAAGAAGUAUUUCGGUAUGUAAAGCUCUAUCAGCAGUGAAGAUAAUGACGGUACCUGACUAAGAAGCACCGGCUAACUACGUG
rnacentral:rRNA from 1 species